GCGCCCGUAGCUCAAUUGGAUAGAGUGUCUGACUACGGAUCAGAAGGUUAGGGGUUCGACUCCUCUCGGGCGCGCCA
rnacentral:tRNA from 15 species